AGUGAACGCUGGCGGUAGGCCUAACACAUGCAAGUCGAACGGCAGCACAGUAAGAGCUUGCUCUUACGGGUGGCGAGUGGCGGACGGGUGAGGAAUACAUCGGAAUCUACUUUUUCGUGGGGGAUAACGUAGGGAAACUUACGCUAAUACCGCAUACGACCUACGGGUGAAAGCAGGGGAUCUUCGGACCUUGCGCGAUUGAAUGAGCCGAUGUCGGAUUAGCUAGUUGGCGGGGUAAAGGCCCACCAAGGCGACGAUCCGUAGCUGGUCUGAGAGGAUGAUCAGCCACACUGGAACUGAGACACGGUCCAGACUCCUACGGGAGGCAGCAGGGGGGAAUAUUGGACAAUGGGCGCAAGCCUGAUCCAGCCAUACCGCGUGGUGAAGAAGGCCUUCGGGUUGUAAAGCCCUUUUGUUGGGAAAGAAAAGCAGCAGGUUAAUACCCCGCUGUUCUGACGGUACCCAAAGAAUAAGCACCGGCUAACUUCGUG
rnacentral:rRNA from 1 species